GAAGAAGGUCGUCAGCCUGCCAUUCUAGUCAGUUUCUCCUCAAAGUUUGGACAUUUGACUAGAAUACAACUUUGAUUCAGCGCAGAAUUCAAUAAUCCUGUGGAUGGACCACAGCGAGUCCUUUUGCAGUUAUCCAUCAAAAAGAUAUGCAGACAUAAUGGAAAUGGCAUUUACAUUGUAGAGCUUGGACGAAGUUGUAAGUAAAUUUAUUUAUUUAUAAAUGCACAUUUAUUGGAGUCUAUAUGCUUUACAAUUGUAAGGCCCUGUUUAAUGCAUCCCUUUGUUUUUAUUAAAGCACACAGGCUCUGUGCAGGAAUUCAUCAAGGACAUGACUGCUGGGAUUACGCUUCUGGAUGACCAAUCUGAGCACCAUCAGUCUGCAGUCAUGUGGUCCAGCCAUCCAGUGACAUUAAGGAUGUUGAGAAAGAAAUUGAAGAGGGCAUUCUGAUUGUAACUGAGGAACAGCAAUGUGAUGUGCUUCCCAAGGAAUAACCAACAUUGGUCUCAUUUGGACAUCCUGUCAUCACUGACAUCUCCCAUGUCCCCAAGGCAUUUGGACUCCUAAUGGGUCUGUAUGCAGUGAACAUCCACCACCUCCAGCGCAUUAAAUACACCAUUGAGGCUCUGCAAAAACUUGUGAAGAUCAGCUGCUCCCACCAUGUGCUCGCUACAGCGGCAGGAACUGUAGGUGUGGGGGAGUGAAUGUUCAGCGCUCUCUCCACCCUCAACACCACAAAUAAGGUGUCCUUGAGCAAGGCACAACUUCUCCCCGGGUACUGCAGCAUAAAUGGCUGCCCACUGCUUUGGGUGUGUGUUCACGGUGUGUGUUCACUGCUGUGUGUGUGCACUUUGGAUGGGUUAAAUGAAGAGCACAAAUGUAUGUCAUGUCACUUUCACUUUUCAGUGUUCAUGAUGUGUCCAUCGGCUCCACCGCACUCUUUCUUAAAAAGUAGUGUUUUUUUUUUUUAUACAAGGAAAGGUUCUUUUGUGCCUUUCACUAUAUAGAAUGUACAUUAAAGUUUACAUGUCAUGACUUGGAAUAUGCAUGUUCUCAUGUAAACAAAUGUUGUUUCACCUCUCAUUUUCUUAAACAGUAUGUACACAUUUUCAGUAUGUAGCAUUAUGAUGGGGGACGAGUUUGGAAACUUUCAAGAUCCUUCUGAUGUUAACACCUCUGUCUGGUCAUGUUGUGCUAUGAAAUUUAGAAUCUGACUUUAGAUCUUUGUGCUUCCAUGUGCAUUCAUUCCAUUUAUAUCUUAUUAUACAGAAGUACAGUACACUCAUUUUUUGUAACUAAUUGUGAUAUUAUAUUACAUAUAUCUUGGUUUCUCAUUUUGACCAUGACUUGCAUUAUGGUGGGGGGAGUGCAUGUGAACUUGUGCAGGGUUAAUAUGCAGAGUUCAACCUUCUGAUUUUCAUAUUGCAUUAUGAAAUUAAAAACAAUCCCUGUGGUUUUGAUCUGAUGAAUUGAAAUGCAACUAUUUGUUUCUCAAUCCCAUGCCAAUGUUAUUUAUUAUACAUCACACUUUCAAGUGUCGGUUCAGAUCUUUAGACGGUUGUUUGUAUUUUGCAUUUUUUGUUUUGUUUAUCAAUUAUCAGUUGAUGUGUUGACAGCAAAUUGCUUGUUCAAUUUAAAUGUGAAUGAAAGUGUUGUCUCUAUCAUUAAAUAAAUUACAUAAAAAAAAAGUGUUUUGUCAUCUUUAUUUAAACAUUUAAGGCAGUGGAGUAACAUUUGUUUAUGAUUAUUGAUCGAAGUAAAAAAAAUCCCUGUUGACACAACAUGAUUUAGUUGACUGGACUAGAAAAUAAUAGUCAAGUCAACUUAAAGAAAUUUGUUACCUGGACUAACUCCACUCUAGUUUGAAAUUGUUUCAACAAGAUUUUUUUUGUCAAGAUAACAAAAAAAUUUUAGG